UACGUAGGUGGCAAGCGUUGUCCGGAUUUACUGGGCGUAAAGAGCGCGCAGGCGGUCGUUCAAGUCGCGUGUGAAAGCCCCCGGCUCAACUGGGGAGGGUCACGCGAUACUGAUCGACUCGAAGGCAGGAGAGGGUAGUGGAAUUCCCGGUGUAGUGGUGAAAUGCGUAGAUAUCGGGAGGAACACCAGUGGCGAAGGCGACUACCUGGCCUGUUCUUGACGCUGAGGCGCGAAAGGUAGGGGAGCAAACGGG
rnacentral:rRNA from 1 species